rnacentral:rRNA from 1 species
AACGAACGCUGGCGGCAGGCUUAACACAUGCAAGUCGAGCGCCCCGCAAGGGGAGCGGCAGACGGGUGAGUAACGCGUGGGAAUCUACCCAUCUCUACGGAAUAACGCAUGGAAACGUGUGCUAAUACCGUAUACGUCCUUCGGGAGAAAGAUUUAUCGGAGAUGGAUGAGCCCGCGUUGGAUUAGCUAGUUGGUGGGGUAAAGGCCUACCAAGGCGACGAUCCAUAGCUGGUCUGAGAGGAUGAUCAGCCACACUGGGACUGAGACACGGCCCAGACUCCUACGGGAGGCAGCAGUGGGGAAUAUUGGACAAUGGGCACAAGCCUGAUCCAGCCAUGCCACGUGAGUGAUGAAGGCCCUAGGGUUGUAAAGCUCUUUCACCGGUGAAGAUAAUGACGGUAACCGGAGAAGAAGCCCCGGCUAACUUCGUGCCAGCCGCCGCCGUAAAAC